ACCCCUCCCACACUUUGAGCUAACCUCCCCGUACCCAAAAAUACAAUUUUCUAUCAAACAUCUAUCUCCCUCUCGCCUGAUUCCCCUUUCUCGCCCAACUUCCAUGACUAUGACGCUGCCGCCACCGCCGCCAAUUGUUUUGAGGAACAUACUAGCGCCACCACAAGCCAUCCACACCGCGAGCCCCCAGCCUCCAUGAUGGCCGCAGCAGGCCACCAUGCGUGCGCGAGCAGCCGCCGCUGCCGAACUGGCCUGGCCAGAUCUGGGCCCAAGCGUACAUGAGAGCAGUAGCUCCGUGCACCACCGACCACCGCCUCCACCGUACCUCUCCGCUGCAAGCAGGCACCAGCGCCGGAGCCCUGGAGGAACCACCCCGCCGCCGUGGCCCCCCACCGCGUAGACCACUACCUGCCUCCACGAGGUCCCCCAACUCGUGAGCGCGACACUUGACUCCGGGAGAAACAGAUCUCGCCGGGGCGGCUCUGCACGGGUUUUGACUGUCGGAGGUUGGUGGUGAUGGAGAGAGGGAGGAGGUGGAGCCAGCAACAUUGUAGGGCCGGUAACAACACACAUCUUGAGAGACAUGCACAAUUCCUCCGAAUCAUUGUAAUCUUUAACUGUUUAUUCCAUAAGAGCACGUUCUGGAAAAAUUGAUAUGCAACUUCGAACUAUUGGUAUCACAGGUUUUGGUGGUAACACAUGCUCACCUUCAGUUCAAACCAACAACAAUGAUCAUGAACUGGUACCCUGUUUGUUUAUUUGGAGCACACACAGAUGAAUCGUGGUGCACACCAUUGCAUAGUGUCGAAGUAUGGAUUGUAACCUUCCUGUUAUAUACACAAGUGAUUUAUUCUGAACCCUAGUGCCACGGGUGUCUGGCACGAUUCUCUCACCAAUGGUUUCUAGGCCCACUACCUCGCGUCUGCACACGAGUUGCUGCGCUCAGGCCUGACGGUGUUGUGCCUCGCAGGCUACCUAUGUCGGCGCUUAAUCUUGACUGCAGGAGCUCCAGGCUUCCUCUACAUUGGCUUCGGGUUGUCAUACCAUGAAAUUUCCAAGCUCUGCAAAUCAAUUCUGCGCUGAAGUUGUACUGCUCCAUGACAAGUAGCUUCAGGGCAGAUAGAUAUGUACAGAUUACUACAUCAUCGGAGAGUAAGAUUGUGGUGGUGUUGCGGUCAGAGUGGAACCAAACUUCCUAUAGCGGCUCAGUCUAGUAUGAUCAUGCUAUCCAGCAAGGCUGCGUCAGGGGCUCAGGCCAGGCAUGAUGGCAAGCAGAGUGGAUUAGAAAGUUAUCCAACAACACCCCUUUUCCAUUUCACAGUUAACAAUGCCAACUGCCCCAAAUCUGAUGAUGUGUUCCUUUUUCAUGUUGUUCCUUCUACAGGUUCUGAGAAUGCACUCAUGGAUUGAAAAUUUCUAAUGUCCAAAGUUGUAGUUGUCAGGUUGAUGAGAAGUUCAAUACUAGGUGAUUACUUGGAUCCUUGGAUAAUUUAUGCUGAUCUUUGGUACUUGGAGGAGAGUGAAGACAGUUCACAGAAUUUUAGAAAUUUAUAUGCUUUAAAAUGUUUCAUUUUCUAGGAAAUUGAUGUACUCCUAAUAGACGAUACUUGCAUUGCAAUGUAACAAAUUAUGCCAUUGAAUCAAUAUAUUAGUUUCAUUUC